rnacentral:rRNA from 1 species
GAUGAACGCUGGCGGCGUGCCUAAUACAUGCAAGUCGAGCGAACAGACGAGGAGCUUGCUCCUCUGACGUUAGCGGCGGACGGGUGAGUAACACGUGGAUAACCUACCUAUAAGACUGGGAUAACUUCGGGAAACCGGAGCUAAUACCGGAUAAUAUAUUGAACCGCAUGGUUCAAUAGUGAAAGACGGUUUUGCUGUCACUUAUAGAUGGAUCCGCGCCGCAUUAGCUAGUUGGUAAGGUAACGGCUUACCAAGGCAACGAUGCGUAGCCGACCGGAGAGGGUGAUCGGCCACACUGGAACUGAGACACGGUCCAGACUCCUACGGGAGGCAGCAGUAGGGAAUCUUCCGCAAUGGGCGAAAGCCUGACGGAGCAACGCCGCGUGAGUGAUGAAGGUCUUCGGAUCGUAAACCUCUGUUAUUAGGGAAGAACAAAUGUGUAAGUAACUAUGCACGUCUUGACGGUACCUAAUCAGAAAGCCACUGCUAACUACGUG